AUGCGGGCAGCUGGCGCCGGGCAGGAAAGCAUGCGAGCGAGGGAGAAGGGUUUAGGGCGGGCCAGGUUUGUCAGUCGUGGGCGUGGAAGCGGCUCGGAUGCCCACAAAGCUCCCCUUCCCCAGUUUGCAAAAAAAAUGCGUUCGGACUGGCCUGCGAAUCGAUACAGGACCGUGUUGGAUGAUAAAAUAUGUCCGAACCACAUGAUUCAGAUGGGUGCGGGCGGUUUGAGUGUCUGUGUUGUAAAUGCGCUAACAAUGCAAUGCUACAGCCAUAAAUCGAUCUCAUGGACUGUAGCAGUGAUGAGCGCCGUGUUCCUUCCUUUUUUCACUUGA
rnacentral:rRNA from 1 species